GCCCAGCACCGAAUCCCGCAGGUGUUGCCUGUAGGGAAAUGUGGUGUUAGGGAGGACCCAUUUCUCCAUGUUUGUCGAGGCGUGUCCAAGUCCAUCUUGAAUGGGGCCAUACACCCAUAGAGGGUGCCAGGCCCGUGGUGACCGCUUCGUAUUCAUGGAGGGUCUCUCCUCAGAGUCGGGUUGCUUGAGAGUGCAGCCCUAAGUGGGUGGUAAACUCCAUCUAAGGCUAAAUAUGACCACGAGACCGAUAGCGAACAAGUACCGUGAGGGAAAGUUGAAAAGAACUUUGAAGAGAGAGUUCAAGAGUACGUGAAACCGUUCAGGGGUAAACGGGAGAAAUCCUGAAUUCGAAUGGGGUCUGGAUUCAACCAUCCUCUUGGUGGAAAGUCUGUCAUACCACCAGAUGGCGCUGGGCGCAUGGUGCGAUCAUGUCGCUGCGUGUUUGUUUCCAGCGGUCACUCGGAGGUUGUGAUAUGUAAUCUUUCAGAGGUUGGGUGCAUUUCCCCCCUAGUAGAAACGUCGCGACCCAUUGGGAACAGGUCUAAGGUCUGGGAUGGCAGCUCGUGUGUCCUGUGGCAUACUCACAGGCAUGUGAACUCCUUGUAACCCGGCCUGUUGCCCGAUGGUAUGAUCUGAGGAGUUGAUCCGCUGAAAAGGAAACACUGUGGUUGUGAAGCGUUCGGCCUGGGGCCAAUGCGUGUGGGUAAUGAGGUUAACUCGGGGGUGUCUGUGCGAAGCACGGUCCCGUACCUGCUGCGUAUUUGGUUCUGGUGUCCUCGGACUGGAUCUGUACUCCCGUCUGCGACGCCCAUCUUCGGAUGGUCUCCCGACCCGUCUUGAAACACGGACCAAGGAGUCUAACAUGUGCGCGAGUCAUUGGGUGACUCUAAACCUAAAGGCGUAAUGAAAGUGAAGGCUACAUCAGAGUGGGUGGCCGAGGGAAGAUGGUACUGGGAUUCCUGGUCCUUCGUGGUCCGGGGCCCGUCCCGCAUUCCCGGGGCGUCUCGUCCUCACUGCGAGGUGAGGCGCACCUAGAGCGUACAUGUUGGGACCCGAAAGAUGGUGAACUAUGCCUGGCCAGGACGAAGUCAGGGGAAACCCUGAUGGAGGUUCGAAGCGAUUCUGACGUGCAAAUCGAUCGUCGGAGCUGGGUAUAGGGGCGAAAGACUAAUCGAACCAUCUAGUAGCUGGUUCCCUCCGAAGUUUCCCUCAGGAUAGCUGGCACUCGGAGGAAAAAUGGAAAGAGUCUCAUACGGUAAAGCGAAUGAUUAGAGGCGUUGGGGCUGAAACGACCUCAACCUAUUCUCAAACUUUAAAUGGGUGAGAUCUCCGGCUUGCUUGGAAACCGAAGCCGGAGACGGAUCACGAGUGCCAAGUGGGCCACUUUUGGUAAGCAGAACUGGCGCUGUGGGAUGAACCAAACGCCGAGUUAAGGUGCCUAAAUUGACGCUCAUGGGAUACCAUGAAAGGCGUUGGUUGCUUAAGACAGCAGGACGGUGGCCAUGGAAGUCGGAAUCCGCUAAGGAGUGUGUAACAACUCACCUGCCGAAGCAACCAGCCCUGAAAAUGGAUGGCGUUAAAGCGUCGUACCUAUACUCGGCCGUCAGAGGCAUUGGGAGUGGUCGGUGGCUUUGUCACUGGCGCUCGAAGAAGCCCUGACGAGUAGGAGGGUCGCGGCGGUGUGCGCAGAAGGGCAGUGGCGUGAGCCUGCCUGGAGCCUCCGUCGGUGCAGAUCUUGGUGGUAGUAGCAAAUACUCAAGAGAGGGCCUUGAGGUCUGAUGUGGUGAAGGGUUUCGUGUGAACAGCCGUUGCACACGAGUCAGUCGAUCCUAAGCCCUAUGUGAAAGUUGAUGCCGAUGGGUGGUCUAAGUGGUAAUGGCCGAUACCCCCGGCGGGCGAAAGGGAAUCCGGUUCAUAUUCCGGAACCCGGCAGCGGAACCGUUCUUAAUCGGGCCCUCAUUGAGUGUUCGUCGGGGUAACCCGAAAGGACCCGGAGAAACCGUCGGGAGAUUUGGGAAGAGUUUUCUUUUCUGUAUGAGCGUUCGUGUUCCCUGGAAUCCUAUAGCAGGGAGAUAGGGAAUGGAACGCGAAGAGCACCGCAGUUACUGCGGUGUCCAAAUCCUCCCCUCGGACCAUGAAAAUCCGGGAGAGGGCCACGUGGAAAAUUCGCGCCGGUUCGUACCCAUAACCGCA
rnacentral:rRNA from 1 species